rnacentral:lncRNA from 1 species
UGGACCGCAGUCAGGAGCCUCUGUUCUAGGGGCCGCACUUAGAGCCAGCUCGCAUCCCUUUGUUCAAGGGGAAGGCGCGGUCCGUCUGUGCAAGGGACGCCUGGUUCUGUCCUUGGAGAGCAGCCCAGGCUCUGUUCCACCUCGCGAGGGCCAGGAGCAGCAUAUCCUCCCUCCCUCCCUCCCUCCCCUUUUCCUCCCUCCCUCUUGCCCUUCUUCCUGAGAGUUCUCUACCUUUUAAAGAUUUGGGGAUUAUGACCCCAACAAGUAAAAUGGAGGAAGUGACAUUUUCCAAACUUGGAAACCAGGCUGCAAUUGUUGUACGUGAACAGUAAGCAUUUGCUGGGAAAUGUGGCAGAAGCAACGAUCUCCAUAACUUCAAGGAGCUGAGGGAUUCUGCGAUGGCCUUAAUCUACCUUUGUUUUACAUUUUCAUUUUUAUUUAUUGAAGGAUUUUAUUUUUAAGUGAUCUCUAUGCCCCAUGUGGGACUCGAACUUCAACCCCGAGAUCAAGAGUCGCAUGCUUUACCAACAGAGCCAGCCGGGCACCCCGGAUUUUUAAAUUAUGGUGCAACAACCCCCGCCCCACCACCACUCAGAUUCAGUGAUUAUCAAGAUUUUUGCCACAUUGGCUUCAUCUGUCCUUUGCUAAAUAUUUUAAGGUUCCACGAGGGUAGGGGAAUCCUACCAGGGUAACCAGAGCCCGUAACCAGAUUCGGAUUCGAUGAGCUACGAAGACUGAAGGUUGCUCAGGUAAGAGCCGGAAGGGGCCCUUGGUUGUCACAGGUGGUAUGGCUUCAGGCAAGCCCACGGGUGCAGAGGGCAGCUCAGUCUCCCCCUCUGGCUUCACUAGAUGGUGUCUUACUGUGGGUGACGUGAUAGCAUGCGUCAGUGUCAUGAAGGCCACCGGUCCAAGCAUGGUUCCAGUGGAAUGCCCUUAGCCCCGGGGCAGCUGGAGCCCCUAGAUGUUUGUCUCCGGUGUCAUGCAGCCAGAGGUGUGCUGAUAAAUGUUUGACCACUGGGGGGCCGGGGUCAGAGUCAGGAGCAGUAAGUCAAGCACCCAUCUGCCGCGUUUGCUGAUUUCCGUGGCGUUAACACUCACCAUGGUGGAUCCAAAGCUACCAAUGUGAUGUCACUGAAGCCAGAGUCGGAAAGUCAUGUAGGUGGCACACCAUCACGCAGCACUGCUGUCAUAGAGACACAGUGGACAGAAACCACCUCAAAAGCAGAGUUGUCACAUAGUAAAAUCAGCCCGUGGUGAGUUUUGAGAAUUUAUUAUCUUGAUUUUGAAUGUGAUUCAUGUAAUUUUAUGUAAUUCAACAUUCCAUAAUGACUCACAAGAUCCCUGGAAAUCUAACCAACCGCUCCUGCAUCCAGCUUGCCCUGGACCCUCAGAGAGCAGGGGCUGGCAGCUCGCCCUGAGGUCCACCAAGCCGCGGACACAUGGCCACCUGAGCCCAGGUGAGGACGGAGCUGCUGGGGGGCUGGGCUGGGGAGGUCGGGGAGGCUCCUGGAGGCCUGAGGAGCCCUUUGUUCCAGCCUUGGCUUGAAAAAAAUUGUUUUGGAUUCAAAUUCUAUUCCCGUUUUCAUAAUUAUCAACAUUACCUGUGUCCAGGAGAAGAACAUCAUGGACUAUCAUUUCAACCGUCAGACUAUCCUUUCAACCGUUAGAAAUUUUUAAAUUAAAAAAAGAGAAGAUUAAAUAUCACCUACAUUCAUCAACUACUUUUCUCGUGGAUGACAGUCAAGAACUAGAAGAGAAUUCGUGAACACCCGUGAUCGAUAAUUGUGUAUAGUGAUUUCAAACGUAGUACCUGGUAUUUUAAAAAUUAGUUCAUGGAAGCCAGACUAACCUUCUCAUGGAAACAUUUGAAGAGAUUUU